ensembl:lncRNA
AAACAAAAUACACAGCUACAUUUACCAGAUAGUUUAAUAAACAUUUUUAAUGAGACAAUUACUUUUUUUAAAUGUAGAGAAUUCUUACCUGCAGGUGUACCUAUGUGAUGCUUAAAUUGUGCCUCUUUUUUUUUUUUUUUUUUUGUCAGAGAUGCUUUUUAGAUGUUGCUGAUUUCAUACGUACCUGUUAUGACAUGUGAACUGAAGUGUGACUGCAUCCAGAGUUUGAGGCUAUUUGGAUCUCUGCUUAGAGCUUACGGCCAUCCAUUUUACCUGGAUUGUUGCAGCUUUAGAAAGACCUACACUGAUACUACCAGAAAAAGAGAACAUGGAUAUGAUCCAAGAGCUGUUGAAGAGCAUCUCUUCUUGGCUUCAGAGGCAUGUUUGAUCAGGCCCCUGUAGAGAGGUAAAAUAAACUCGCUGUGUUUACAACAUGGAAGAUUCUAUUAGCUGUGUAUAUUUAUUUAGUGGGGUAAGCUAAAAAUGCCUUAAAGAUGUUUUGAACCCAUAUCAUUUUAAAGAGCUUCUAAAUCUUGUAUAUGACUCCUCUAUACUUGAUAGCUGCUCUGUGUAGUACUUGCUGUAUGGUGUAGCCAACUGAGCUAGGUUAUUAAGCAAACUCAUAUGAACCAAGAAAAAUAGGAUGUUAAGGGAACAUUAGUCAGACAGUUCAGAGCCAAGGGAGAAUGUUCCUAUACAUGGG